rnacentral:rRNA from 1 species
AAGUCCUACGGGACGCAGCAGUAGGGAAUCUUCCACAAUGGACGAAAGUCUGAUGGAGCAACGCCGCGUGAGUGAAGAAGGGUUUCGGCUCGUAAAGCUCUGUUGGUAGUGAAGAAAGAUAGAGGUAUUAACUGGCCUUUUUUUGACGGUAAUUACUUAGAAAGUCACGGCUAACUACUUGCCAGCAGCCGCGGUAAUACUCCGGUUGCAAGCGUUGUCCGGAUUUAUUUGGCGUCAA